GUUGUCUGGCGGCAGACGGCCGCGGCUGGGCGACGCGACCAGUCCGGGUCUCUUGUUCUCGCCCGCCAUCGGUCUCGGACGCUUGUGGCGUGGGAGAGGUGCUGCGGGAGGGCAGAGCAGGACCCGGGCAGACUACGAAGGACCCUAGACCAGGACAGGGGCUCACCGGGGAGGAGCUCAGCCUUGAACCCGGGCUGACUAGGACCUGGGUGCGGACGAGGGAGGACCCCGGAAGAAGAUCUGGGUAUGACUAGAGAGAUCGCUCAGAAAAAUACUCGAGCUGACUAGAGAGAACUCCAGAACUAGACCUGGGCUCACCAGGGAGGAUCUCAGUCAGACCAGGACCUGAUGCUCACAGCGGACGACUGGACUUGUACUUGGGGUGAAGAGGAGGCUGCUGAAGCGAGGAGGCAUGAAUGCACCCUCUAACAAGUUCCCAGGGUUGUAAAACAGGCUCCCUUAGAGACAGUUUCAUCUGUCAUGGAAAAACGGGAGACAUUCAUCCAAGCGGUUUCUAAGGAACUGGUUGAGGAGUUUCUGCAGUUUGUUCAACUUGAUAAAGAUUCUUCUGAACCUUUCAGUUUAAGUGAGUUACUAGACGAAUUAUCAAGGAAACAGAAAGAGGAAUUAUGGCAAAGGCUGAAGGACUUACUAACAGAAACGCUGUUAGAAAGCCCCGUGGAUGGGUGGCAGACAGUGGAAGACCAGGGUGAAGAUGGAAUGGAAUCAGAGCCCAGUCCAAAGAUGAAAAAGAGCAUAGAAAUAAUACAUGCCAUUACAUCUGUAAUUCUCGCUUCUGUAUCUGUAAUAAAUGAACAUGAGAACUAUGGGGCCCUCCUGGAGUGUGCUGUUAUAUUAAAUGGUAUUUUAUACGCACUACCUGAAUCUGAACAAAAACUCCAGAACUCUAUUCAGGAUCUGUGUGUCAAAUGGUGGGAAAAGGGCCUGCCUGCCAAGGAGGACAUGGGGAAGACUGCAUUUGUUAUGCUGCUGAGGAGAAGUCUGGAGACUAAAACAGGGGCAGACGUGUGUCGGCUGUGGCGCAUCCAUCAGGCUCUGUACUGCUUUGGUUACGAUCUGGAGGAGAACAGAGAAAUUAAAGACAUGCUGCUCGAGUGCUUCAUAAACAUUAAUUACAUCAAGAAGGAAGAGGGAAGAAGGUUUCUUAGUUUUCUUUUCAGUUGGAAUAUAGACUUUAUUAAAAUGAUCCAUGAGACCAUUAAAAAUCAGUUGUCUGGAUUACAAAAGUCUUUGAUGGUACACAUUGCAGAAAUUUAUUUCAGAGCUUGGAAAAAGUCUUCAGGGAAAAUAUUGAAGACCAUUGAGAAUGCCUGCAUCCAGGACUUCAUGUUCCAUGGCAUCCACCUUCCAAGGAGAUCUCCAGUGCACUCCAAAGUGCGAGAGGUGCUGAGUUACUUUCACCAACAGAAAGUCCGCCAGGGAGUGGAAGAGAUGCUGUAUAGGUUAUAUAAGCCCAUCCUGUGGAGAGGACUGAAGGCCAGAAAUUCUGAAGUUCGAUCAAAUGCUGCCUUGCUGUUUGUUGAAGCGUUUCCUGUUAGAGAUCCAAACUUCAUUGCCACUGAAAUGGACAGUGAAAUUCAGAAGCAGUUUGAAGAACUAUAUAGCCUUUUAGAAGAUCCUUAUCCGAGGGUCCGUUCCACAGGCAUCCUUGGUGUUUGUAAGAUAACGUGUAAAUACUGGGAAAUGAUGCCUCCUACCAUUCUUGUUGAUCUCUUGAAGAAAGUCACAGGGGAGCUGGCAUUUGAUACGAGCUCAGCUGAUGUCCGUUGUUCUGUUUUUAAGUGUUUGCCAAUUCUUUUGGAUAACAAACUGAGCCACCCAUUAUUAGAACAGCUUUUGCCACCACUCAGGUAUAGUCUCCAUGAUAAUUCAGAGAAAGUGAGGGUGGCUUUUGUGGAUUUGUUGCUGAAAAUCAAAGCCGUGAGAGCUGCAAAGUUUUGGAAAAUAUGCCCCAUGGAGGACAUUUUGGUUCGCUUGGAAAUGGAUUCUCGGCCUGUGUCUCGGCGCCUGGUGAGCCUCAUCUUCAACUCUUUUCUGCCCGUGAACCAGCCAGAGGAGGUGUGGUGCGAGCGCUGUGUCACACUGAUCCAGAUGAAUCGCGCAGCUGCCAGGAAGUUCUAUCAGUAUGCCCAUGAGCACACCGCCUGCACCAACAUAGCAAAGCUCAUCCAUGUCAUCCGUCACUGCUUGAACGCCUGUAUCCAGAGGACGCUGCAGGAGUGCCCAGAGGCCCAUAAGGAGUGCGAGAAGGAGAACGCCAGCGUACUAGAUAAAACAUUGUCGGUGAGUGAUACUGCAUCCAUGGCAGGUUUACUAGAAGUCAUUGUGAUCCUCUGGAAGAGCAUCCAUAGAAGUCUGGAAAAUAAUAAAGAGGCCAAAGUUUAUACCAUUAACAAGUUUGCAUCUGUGCUUCCAGAGUACCUGAAGGUGUUCAAGGACGAACGCUGCAAGAUCCCCUUGUUCAUGCUAAUGUCCUUCUUGCCAGCCUCUGCUGUCCCUGUGUUCAGUUGUGGUGUGAUUUCUGUCCUGAGAAAUCAGGAGGAGAGUGUUACAGGCAGGAGCUACUGUACCCUGCUGGAUUGUCUCUGUUCCUGGGGGCAAGUGGGGCAUGUUCUGGAGCUCAUUGUUGACUGGCUGACAAUAAGGCCACGUCAGACCAAGAGUAAAGUGCAAAUCAAUGAUACGUGCCCAGUGAGACAUGAGCUAGCAUUGCUGUACAUGGAGUAUUUGCUGACCCAUCCAAAGAAUCGAGAGUGUCUGCUCUCUGCACCCCAGAAGAAACUUAACCAGCUUUUAAAAGCACUUGAAGGAUCCAAGGCAGAUCUGGAAUUUUUUCUUCAGUCCCCAAGUGGGAAUCCCCUCAACUUCAACAAAGAAGUUGCAUUGCAUGCCUUUGGCCUACACUGUCGACUGAGCGUCCAUCUUCAGUACAAGUUCUCAGAAGAGAAAAUUCAUCUGUCCAUCUUGAAUGAAACUGGCUCUUGGUUAGAAAACAAAGUUUUGCCUCUUCUUCAAGACCAAGAAGAGGAGUUUCUGAAGCUUCGGAGGGAUGUCUAUCAGCAGGUCAUCCAGACGUACCUGGCUGUGGGUAAAGAUGUUGUCAUGGUGGGCCUUGGAGACCCUAAAUUUCAGAUACAUCUUUUACAGUGGAGUCUCGGAAUAAUGAAAACAGUGAAGGAAUUUUUUUACAUUUCAUUACUUCUUGACAUUCUCAAGGAGAUAGCUGGAAGCUCCAUGAUUCAGAAAACAGAUUCAGAAGAAGUCACAGUGCUGUUUGAUUUAGUGCAGGAAGUAUUUCAAAAAAUGUUGGAAUGUGUUGCUUGGACCUUCCGGAAGAAGCCAGAAGAAAGUCUGCAGCUCUUUCAUUCUGUGAAGUCCCCUCUUCAUGAAUUUAUCAGCACUAUUCAGUCCUGGUGCAAGGACACUGCAGUCCAUCAUGGUAUACUUUCUACUCUGAUUGCUGCCCUUGUGGUUGAGAUAAGUCAUCAGCUGCAGAAGGUUUCUGAUAUAGAAGAGCUGACCACACCACAAUGUCCUGCUGACCUUCCUCCAUUUUCAAGGUGUUUAGUUGGUGUAAUAAUGAAGUCUUCGGAUGUGGUCAGGUCAUUUUUGGAUGAGCUAAAGGCUUGUGUAACCUCUGGUGAUAUUGAAGGCAUUGUGUGCCUCACAGCUGUUCUGCAUGUUAUUUUGGUUAUUAAUAAAGGUAAACAUAGAAGUGCAAAGCUGAAGGAGGUUGUAGAGACUGUGAACAGAAAGCUGAAGACAUUUAUGGAGAUCACUUUGGAAGAGGAUAGUCUAGAAAGUGUUCUGCAGGCCAGAAGAGGGCACCAGAUCUUAAUGCAGAUGGUUGUGAGCCUCCAUGUGGUUGCUUGGAAUUGAACUCAGGACCUCUGGAAGAGCAGCCAGUGCUCUUAACCACCGAGCCAUCUCUCCAGCCCUUCCACUCCUUCUGUUUUUUAAAGUCUUCAUCGAAAAGCCAGGUGUUAUUCUGAUGGGCUUGCCUUUAUGUGUUCCUGUAUGAAUCAUCAAUAAGAACUUUGGGAGAGUUUCUAAAUUCAUGACAACACCACCAUCUUUGAGUGUGUAGAAAUAGACUCAUGAAAGUGAAAUGUGUGUAUAUCUUUCUUGCCUUUUCUUCUUUUGUCAGACUAAGCCUGAAGUCCUGAGUCUGUAGUUACCCAAAGAUGAGGCCAGUAGAGCGCACUGGUGCUCUGCUCUACACGCUGUGCCUUUAAUCAGCUGGCGGUCAUGGAGAGUGGUGAAGAUGUGGAGAAAGACUGGCAAGCAGCUCGCACUCUCACCAGAAGCCUUGGCAAUUCGUCUGGGAACUGUGGCCUUGGCCAGCUCCUGAGUUCGUUGGCCUAUAACUUAUCUACUAUUUAUUAUUUGUUAUGAAAUUUUCGCCGGAACAGAUUUCUCUUUGACCUUUCAGCAGGGCUACCAUUAGUCCACACAGAACCUUUGCUCAAAUGAUGAAAAGAAUCACUCUGCCAAGACAUUUUACUAAACUGCCUUCUAUUGUACAGUUGUAAUAAACACACAAAUAUAUAGCAUUGA